CAUCAGAGAGUGUGUCCACGUAGGACAAUUAAAUCGACCAAUAGGAAGUCAGCUUUCCGCCACGUCAGAUACUCACUUAUGUUAUUUGGGUUUCGCGUUUCACCGGCCCGUUAACGUUCAGAAUCGAGAAGCCCGUGAAGCUCAUCAAAAACGAGUGGACUUUUAUAUAUUUGAUCUAUGUUCAUUAAUUUCUUGGGUUUAAUAUGAGUCGGCCCGUUAACAUCAUGUGAAUGUUUUCUGGACAAUAAAAAUUUAUUCUGUCAAUUUCUUUUAGUUCGUGUAUUGUGUUUUUAAUUGCGUAUGAUUUGGUUAUCUAAUAUAUAUAUAUAAGUCCAAUAAAGAAACCAAAUUUGUCUCCAAACCCAUUGCAAGACCUAAUUUUUAACGAUGAUGUGCUGUGUAGCCCAAACAAAACCAAACUCUGCGUUUCAUGUUAUGUCUGAAUAGUCUUCUUCUUCAACGAUCCACCGUCCCCUUCCUCUCAAUUUCCGACCUCCCCUAUGGCCUCAUCUCUGUCUCUUCCUUACCUUCCGUUCAACGUUUACAUCUUAAUCUAUACAAUGAAUCUUCAGUUUACAUUUAAGUCAUUAACUCCCACAAACUCUCCGCCUCCCUCUUUUACAAUCAAAGCAUUAGCUUUGUGCGUAUCUAAUCCGAAAACAUCUCAAACACUAUAAAUAGGAGAGGAUUGAGAGUGGAAUCAAGUUUCACCAACACGCUCUCUCAGUUAUGUUCUCUGAAAAAAACCUGAAAUCCUUCUGAGAAUUAUCUUCGUGUGAUGCUGUUGUUGUCCAAUUAGCCAUCCGCCACUCAACCUUUAAUCACUCUCUUCUCUUUGUUUAAAAAGCUGAAUAGAAGACAAAAAAAAAGACGAGAGAGGAUUCAGUACAACAAAUUAUUGCAACUUCUGCCACAUGAUCAGCUGAGAUCUUCCUGUCAUGUGGCGCUCUGCAGAAUAGAAGAGGACAUGGUCGAGGGCUUCCUGAAGUCCCUGAAGAGUAUAUAAACAUGCCUUUUCUCAAGAGAAGAGUGGUGUACAUGAAGGCCAAGAUCAAGGACAAUCCCAACCUUCAGGAUUGUGUUUUCCACAUUGUCGUCGAUGGCUAUAACGCCCCUGUUACUGCCGGGAACUUUGUGGACUUGGCGGAGCGCAAUUUCUACAAUGGCAUGGAGAUCCAGAAAUAUUUUUUGCAGCUGAUGGGUUUUGUGGUACAAACGAGAGAUCCAGACGGUCAUGCGGAAGGAUUUAUAGAUCCAACCACAGAGAAAGUAAGGACGGUUCCUCUUGAGAUUAUGGUGACUGGGAAGAAAACGCCAUUUUAUGGCUCAACCCUAAAGAAUUGGGUCUGUACAAUGGCAAUGGCUAGAGAAGUGAGAGUUCUUUCUCUUCCUUCACAUUUGAAUAUAUAUAUAUUCUAAUUAUAUGUAAUGCAAAAAAGGGGUUUGAGAAUGACUCAGAAUCGAGCCAAGUGUUUUGGCUGCUGAAAGAGCGUGAGCUGACGCCAAGCAAUUCUAACACCUUGGACGGUCGUUACGAUGUCUUCGGCGGCUACGUUACUCAAAAUGAAGAUUUUCUGGCUGAUCUUAAAGUCGAUGAUGUCACUGAGUUCAUUCAAGUUGUCUCCGGUUGAGAAGGAAUAUGUUCUUGCACAAGAGAAAACAGAAAAGCAACAUGCACAUCUACCAUUAUUGCUGCUCUCAAGUAUGGACGCUGCUCAUCCACCGUGGAGGUGGAGGUGCGGCUUCUCCUGUUUUGGGAAGCCAGAAACAUUAAACGUGGUGGCCACCUCAUGGGAGUAGAUAUGCUUCUUCUGGAUUCUAAGGCGAUGCUCAUACCCGCCACCAUCAACGUGAACCGUCUUCCCACCUACCGGGGACACUUGAAGGUAGAUACCCGCUACAAGAUCGUUUAGGGUACUGUUAUACGAGCUGCAAAUCCAGCACAAACCUCGAGUUCAGAAGAUUCCUCACAAGAGCUAUCAAGUCCAGAAGAUUCCACCGAGUCGCAAGAUCUACCAAGUACGCCUUUGACAUCAGAAAAUAGUCUUGAGAAAGCAGAGUCUGCAGCAAAAGCUCUUGCAGUGGCUGAUUCCAAAGUGUUCGAAGCCAAAGAGGCGUCCCAAGUUGCAGAUACGGCCCCAAAGAAGUCUCUGACCGAUGUGCUAAAAGGCGAAAAUGUUGAACUACGGUAGAGCUUUAUACCUUGUGGUCCGGUUCAAUGUAGAUGUAAAGGACUGUUUUUUAAUAGGUUUUGGCUUUGAGAACAAAAAUAAAGAGUACAUGUAUAUGAGAUUUCAUUGACUAUUGACGUUGUCACUUUUUGGUUAGUUUUUGAUGUUAAGUACGGUUCUGGAUGUUAAUAGAUGUUUUUGCAAGUCAUACUGAGAAUUGUUAAUGCAUGAUUGUGUUUAUAUUUGAUUA